rnacentral:rRNA from 1 species
AGAACGAACGUUAGCGGCGCGCUUAACACAUGCAAGUCGAGCGAGAAAGGGGCAACCCCGGUAAGGCGGCGCACGGGUGAGUAACACGUAGGUAAUCUACCCCCAGGUGGUGGAUAACCUUCCGAAAGGAAGGCUAAUACAGCAUGGGACCACGGCUUCGCAAGGAGUUGAGGUGAAAGUCGGCCUCUUCAUGAAAGCCGACGCCAGGGGAUGAGCCUGCGGCCCAUCAGCUAGUUGGUAGGGUAAUGGCCUACCAAGGCAAAGACGGUAGCUGGUCUGAGAGGAUGAUCAGCCACACUGGAACUGAGACGACGGUCCAGACUCCUACGGGAGGCAGCAGUGGGGAAUCGUGCGCAAGUGGAAGAAAGUCUGACGCAGCCGACGCCGCGUGAGUGAUGAAGCCCGUGGUGUAAGC